UACGGAGGGUGCGAGCGUUGUCCGGAAUCACUGGGCGUAAAGGGCGCGUAGGCGGCUGGGGAAGUCGGCGGUGAAAGCCCGGAGCUCAACUCCGGGUCGGCCGUCGAGACUCCUCGGCUCGAGCUCACUAGAGGCAGAUGGAAUUCCGGGUGUAGCGGUGGAAUGCGUAGAGAUCCGGAAGAACACCGGUGGCGAAGGCGGUCUGCUGGGGUGAGGCUGACGCUGAGGCGCGAAAGCGUGGGGAGCAAACAGG
rnacentral:rRNA from 1 species